rnacentral:rRNA from 1 species
GAAAACAUUGGCAGCAGUAAAGAAUUUUAUGCAAUAUACGAAAGUAAGACAUAGGCAGAACCUUUUAACCUGUCAAAUUAAGUGCCAGCAGACGCGGUGAAACUUAAGGGUUUGUUUUUUAGAAAAAAGCAGAAAGCGUGUAAAGGUAAAACAUUUAAAAUAAAUAGAAUUUUUUUAGUAAUAGUGCAAUAUUAAAAGAAGAAAAAGAAUUUUUUAUGUGAAGACAAUUUAUUUUUUUUCUUUAACACGAAGGUUCUGGGAGCGAACAGGAUUAGAGACCCUGGUAGUCGAUACAGUAAAAGAAAGUCGCUUGAGUAGUACGGUCGCAAGACUAAAAUUCAAAAAACUUGGCUGUUCAUUGUUAUUUAGAGGAGCGUGUUGCUUAAUUCGAUAAUCCGCGAGUUACCUUACCAAAACUAGCUUUUUCAGGUGUUGCAUGGCCGUCGUCAAUUUAUGUUUGAUACAAUAAAUUAAACCCUAGAAAGGUUGAAGUCCGGUGAAAUUGCCCUUAUGUUUUGGGGUUAAAUGCGCUACAUUUUUUUUUUAAUAAAAAAAAAGAGUUCGGAUUGUCUUUAAAAGAGGAUGAUUAAGUUGAAUUUAAUAGUAAUUGAAAAGUAGAGCGUUUCAAUGAAUUUGCCGCAAUGUUAGUACAAAUCGCCCGUCGCCUCUACUAAGGUAAACAAAGUAGAGUAA